rnacentral:rRNA from 1 species
CCCUACGGGGUGCAGGCGAGGAAGAUGACGAGGGAGCCGAGGGGAAGGGCGCCGACAGAUGCGUAGAGCGGCUUUAGAUCGGUCCCCGACUCCUUGAUGAGGGCGACGUUCCUCCGGAAGCGCCCGACGCGCCUUCCCAGGAAAAGGAAUCCCAUGGAGAGGAAGGCGGCGGCGGCGAUGCCGCCCGCGGCGAGGGGGCGCGAAGCCUCUACCCCCGGGGCCCUGUAGUAGACGAGGACCAGGGCGACGAAGGCCACGAAGGCCACGCACACAAAGAUGACGAGGGCGCUGAAUGCGAGAGAUCGACGGUUCAUGCACGGCUCCAUGCGAUCGAGGGACGAGAGAUACCGUCAAGGAUAGGACAUGGAAAUAGCCGCGUAUAUGAAUUGGCGGGGGGGC